rnacentral:rRNA from 1 species
CGGGUGAGUAAUAUAUAAGAAUCUACCUAUUUAUUUGGAAUAAUCAUAUCUAUAAAAGAGAAUGCUUUGCAGUGACAAAUCUGAUAAAAGUUAAAUACUGUAAAUAGAUGAGCUUAUACAGGAUUAAAAACGGAUCGUGUGAGGUAAUAGCUUACAUAGCCGAUGAUCCUUAGUUGGUCUGAGAGGAUGAUCAGCCACACUGGGACUGAGACAAGGCCCAGGCUUUUAGCCAGCAGUGAGGAAUCUUGGACAAUUCGCGAAAGCGGGAUCCAGUAAUACUGCGUGAAUGAGGAAAACAAAAAAGGUCUAUGGGUGUAAAAGCUUAUAGGUCGGUUGUAAAAUUCUUUCACUAAUGAAGAUAAUGACUUUAUUUAGAGAAGAAGCCCCGGCUAACUUCGUGCCAGCAGCCGCGGUAAUACGAAGGGGGCGAGCGUUAUCCGGAAUGAUUGGGCGUAAAGUGUUAUAUAGGCGGUAUUUAUUGAUUAUAUGUAAAAUCCUAGGUUUGUUGCUUA